UACGGGAGGCAGCAGUGGGGAAUAUUGCACAAUGGGCGGAAGCCUGAUGCAGCGACGCCGCGUGAGGGAUGACGGCCUUCGGGUUGUAAACCUCUUUCAGCACGGAAGAAGCGAAAGUGACGGUACGUGCAGAAGAAGCGCCGGCUAACUACGUGCCAGCAGCCGCGGUAAUACGUAGGGCGCAAGCGUUGUCCGGAAUUAUUGGGCGUAAAGAGCUCGUAGGCGGUUUUGUCGCGUCUGCUGUGAAAGCCCGGGGCUUAACCCCCGGGUGUGCAGUGGGUACGGGCAGACUUGAGUGCAGUAGGGGAGACUGGAAUUCCUGGUGUAGCGGUGAAAUGCGCAGAUAUCAGGAGGAACACCGAUGGCGAAGGCAGGUCUCUGGGCUGUUACUGACGCUGAGGAGCGAAAGCAUGGGGAGCGAACAGGGAUUUAGAUACCCGU
rnacentral:rRNA from 1 species